rnacentral:rRNA from 1 species
AGUGAACGCUGGCGGUAGGCCUAACACAUGCAAGUCGAACGGCAGCACAGUAAGAGCUUGCUCUUACGGGUGGCGAGUGGCGGACGGGUGAGGAAUACAUCGGAAUCUACUUUUUCGUGGGGGAUAACGUAGGGAAACUUACGCUAAUACCGCAUACGACCUACGGGUGAAGGCAGGGGAUCUUCGGACCUUGCGCGAUUGAAUGAGCCGAUGUCGGAUUAGCUAGUUGGCGGGGUAAAGGCCCACCAAGGCGACGAUCCGUAGCUGGUCUGAGAGGAUGAUCAGCCACACUGGAACUGAGACACGAUCCAGACUCCUACGGGAGGCAGCAGUGGGGAAUAUUGGACAAUGGGCGCAAGCCUGAUCCAGCCAUACCGCGUGGGUGAAGAAGGCCUUCGGGUUGUAAAGCCCUUUUGUUGGGAAAGAAAAGCAGCAGGUUAAUACCCCGCUGUUCUGACGGUACCCAAAGAAUAAGCACCGGCUAACUUCGUG